GCGCUCUUUUGCAGCACAAAUACUAAAAUUGGAACGACACAGAGAAGAUCAGCAUGGCCCCAGCGCAAGAAAAACAUGCAAAUUCGUGAAGCGUUCCAUUUUUUU
rnacentral:snRNA from 1 species